rnacentral:rRNA from 1 species
ACUCAAUAGAUACCCUGGUAGUCCAUGCCGUAAACGUUGGGCACUAGGUGUGGGGGACGAUUCCACGUUUCCGUCGCCGUAGCUAAACGCAUUAAGUGCCCGCCUGGGGAGGUACGGCCGCAAGGCUAAAACUACAAAGGAAUUGACGGGGGCCCGGCACAAGCGGCGGAGCAUGCGGAUUAAAUUCGAUGCAACGCGAAGAACCUUACCAAGGCUUGACAUGAACCAGACCGGGCUGGAAACAGUCCUUCCCUUCGUGGGUUGGUUUACAGGUGGUGCAUGGUUGUCGUCAGCUCGUGUCGUGAGAUGUUGGGUUAAGUCCCGCAACGAGCGCAACCCUCGUUCUAUGUUGCCAGCACGUGAUGGUGGGGACUCAUAGGAGACUG